CUUUUUUCUAACGAGAGGAAUCGUAUUUGUAUUAAAUUUCAAGUUUCGAUUAAUUAAUAUAGUUUAAAUAUAGUUGAAAUAUAGUUGGAUUAAUUAAUAUAGUUGAAUAAAUCCGCGUAUAUCCUUACCUCGUGCAAUUUUAUCCUUAUUCGCGCUUUUUCAUAGAAUUCCAUCGGAAGAACCUCGAAACAAAAGGGAUCAAUCAUUUGAUUUGUUCGAUUUCGAGGCGAGAAUUUUCUUCUUUGGCAGUGGUAUAAAGUGUCUCGUAUGUUUGCGUCCAUACUUUGGAAAUAAUACAACGAAAAGUUACUGCUGAUCGUUGAUCGAUUAUUGUCAAAAAAAUUAGGUUAUGUACGCGUAUAUUCACGAAUUAAUAUGUAUUAUAAUUCUAACAGAUUUAGCAUCGAGCCGCAGGCAUUGGUCAAAUACAGGAGAUAUUAAUCGAAAUCUUGGACAAUAUUUGUUAUAUCGAUGUAAUCAAAUCAAGUGGAUAGUUACUCGUGCAGCUUGGUUUCUUAAAUUAGAUUUUCUUUAACGAUCGAGUAAGAUCUAUAAAAAAAAAAAAAAAUGUAACAAUUCCUUGAAGUGUGCAAAUUAAAUGAAGUUAAAGCAUACGAAAGCCGUCUAUUCAAUCGUAAAUUACGAUUGUUGGAGUGAUCGCCAUCCCUACAAAUUUGCAACAUCAAAAGAUCUGCCUACGAACGCUCGUUCGUGAAAAAAAAUACAACGCGUGGGCACGUUAUUAGCAUACUGAUGUCGAAUUUUAAACGGAAGACGUCAGAAAAAUUUGAGGCAGAAGAUGACACCCUGAAGAUGAAUAAAUGAUGCAAUAAAAUAUGAUAAAAUAAAUGAAUUUAUUUUAACGCAAAAUUGAAAAUGAUGUCUGGAAAAAUUAAAUUUAUUUAAUUACAUGACGAUUGUGG